CACGUAGGGUCCGAGCGUUGUCCGGAAUUACUGGGCGUAAAGCGUGCGCAGGCGGUUGUGCAAGUCCGAUGUGAAAUCCCCGGGCUCAACCUGGGAAUGGCAUUGGUGACUGCACGGCUAGAGUGUGUCAGAGGGGGGUAGAAUUCCACGUGUAGCAGUGAAAUGCGUAGAGAUGUGGAGGAAUACCGAUGGCGAAGGCAGCCCCCUGGGAUAACACUGACGCUCAUGCACGAAAGCGUGGGGAGCAAACAGG
rnacentral:rRNA from 1 species